rnacentral:rRNA from 1 species
GUGGGGAAUAUUGGGCAAUGGGGGAAACCCUGACCCAGCGACGCCGCGUGAGGGAAGAAGGCCUUAGGGUCGUAAACCUCUGUUGUGUGGGAAGAAGAGCGUGACGGUACCACACGAGGAAGUCCCGGCUAACUACGUGCCAGCAGCCGCGGUAAUACGUAGGGGACGAGCGUUGUCCGGAUUUACUGGGCGUAAAGGGCGCGUAGGCGGUCAUUUAAGUCAGCUGUGAAAUGGUUUGGCUUAACCGGAUCAUGCGGUUGAAACUGGAUGACUGGAGUGCUGGAGAGGCAAGUGGAAUUCCCAGUGUAGCGGUGAAAUGCGUAGAUAUUGGGAAGAACGCCGGUGGCGAAGGCGACUUGCUGGCCAGUAACUGACGCUGAGGCGCGAAAGCCAGGGGAGCAAACGGGAUUAGAUACCCUGGUAGUCC